AGUGCAUGAGGCUGGAAUCGCUAGUAAUCGCGAAUCAGAAUGUCGCGGUGAAUACGUUCCCGGGUCUUGUACACACCGCCCGUCACACCAUGGGAGCCGACAACGCCCGAAGUCAGUGACCUAACCGAGAGGGAGGAGCUGCCGAAGGCGGGACUGAUAACUGGGGUNAAGUCGUAACAAGGUAAC
rnacentral:rRNA from 1 species